rnacentral:lncRNA from 10 species
GAUUGCUCCCUUUGGGAGACACCAGCCACCAUUCCAUGAGGGCACUCUUGGAGAGGUUCAAAUGGAAAGAAUCUGAGGUUUCCACUAAAAGCCAAUACUAUCUUGCCAGCCAUUCAAAAAUGCUGAAAAACACACUACCAAAAAUUGGAAGCAACCAACUGGAAGCAAACAUACUAUCAAAAAUUGGAAGCGACUUACUAUCCUUCAGUAGGUGAAUGGAUAAACUGUGGUCAUCCAGACAAUGGAAUAUUAUUCAUCCAUAAGAAGAAGUGAGCUACCAAGCCACAAAAGAAACUUGAAUACUAUCACAAAGUGAAGAAACCAAUCUGAAAAAACUACAUAUUGUAUCAUUCCAAUUGUAUGACAUUCUGGAAAAGGCAAAACUAUAGAGACAACAGAUCAAUGGUUGCCAGAGGGUGGGGGAAGGGAAGAAUGAAGAGGCCGAGCACAGAGGAUUUUUAGGCCAAACUACUCUGUAUGACGCUGUAAUGGUAGAUACAUGUCAUUGCAAAUUUGCCCAUACCCCUACAAUGUACAACACCAACAGUGAACUCUAAUAUAUAACCUAUGAACUUUGGGUGAGAAGGACAAGUUAAUGGAGGUUCAACAAUUGCAAUAACCGUGCCUUUCUGGUGGGAGAUAUUUUACUUGGCAUUAGGCAUUUGUCCAAACCCACAGAACUGUUAUUUGGUUUUAUUCAACAUAGACUCUCCGUAUUAAUCAAUACAAAAAGAGUGAACCCUAAUGUUAACUACGAACUUUAAUAAUGUAUCAGGCCAGGCGUGGUGGCUCAUGCCUGUAAUCCCAGCACCUUGGGAGGUUGAGGCAUGAGGGUUGCUUGAGAUCAGCCUGGGCAACACAAGAUGAAGUUUUGUAG